GGAAUAUUGCGCAAUGGGCGAAAGCCUGACGCAGCGACGCCGCGUGGGGGAUGAAGCUUCUCGGAGUGUAAACCCCUUUCGACCCGGACGAAUGCCCCGCAAGGGUUUGACGGUACGGGUAUCAGAAGCCCCGGCUACCUACGUGCCAGCAGCCGCGGUAAUACGUAGGGGGCCAGCGUUGCUCGGAAUUCCUGGGCGUAAAGGGUUCGUAGGCGGUGCGGCAAGUUGGGAGUGAAAUCUCUGGGCUCAACUCAGAGGCUGCUUUCAAAACUGCCGUGCUCGAGUGCGGGAGAGGCGAGUGGAAUUGCAGGUGUAGCGGUGAAAUGCGUAGAUAUCUGCAGGAACACCCGUGGCGAAGGCGGCUCGCUGGACCGCAACUGACGCUGAGGAACGAAAGCUAGGGGAGCAAAC
rnacentral:rRNA from 1 species